UCGCUAAACGUGCCCUGCAGAUCGCUAACGUUAUAUGAUGACAAGACUCCAUACUCUAGUAAGACUGGGAAAUACGUGCUGCCUACAGAUCCACAUAAAAUGUUCUUAGAUGUCCUGACAUCUAAAGGAAAAGGGCUGCCAUGUCUUACGAGGCAUAGGAGACAAAUCUUCCUCUCCACAGCAAAGCUAGGCCCAACAAUACACCAAGUAAGGAAGACACAGAAUGCACACCCCCUUUGUGGAUAGUGGGCGUUGAUGAGCUCUCUUUAAUACUGAGAGAGAUAAGCACCUUCAGCAGUCUCAGGCGAUGAUGACUUCCUCCCCAGACGUCCCAGCCAGCCAGGAUCGCAGGCACACAUCCUUGGCGUGUGUGUCCAACCCGAGCCUGAUCUUCCCUAUGGACCCAGCAUCACCUGAGCGGUAAGUUACCUCCGUGUCGUCACCACGGAGCUGGGCGAGGGCUGGCUAUUUCCUGGCACUCAGUCGGUUUGAGAUUACACAGGAAGUGCGUUUCUACCUGUGACGGCAGACUUAGGAAGCUGGUCGGAAAAGCCGUGGUGCAGCGCUAUUUGUGUUGACUCUGCUUACGAGCACUUCCCGUGACAAAAGUCCUCCCAUCUGGGGCCGGGAGUGGGCACGUGACCCACGUGUGGUACCCAAGGCCACUGGGACUGCUUCAGGUGUGAGCACAGAACCAAGAGGGAGCCCACGGGAUGUGCCCUCGACGGACCGGAGCCUGACU